AAGAGUUUUCUCUGAAUCUGCGAAUGGCUCAUUAUAUCAGUUAUAGUUUAUUUGAUAGUCCUUUACUACUUGGAUAACCGUAGUAAUUCUAGAGCUAAUACAUGCAUCAACUCCCAACUGCUUGUCGGACGGGAUGUAUUUAUUAGAUAGAAACCAAUGCGGGGCAACCCGGUAUUGUGGUGAAUCAUGAUAACUUUGCGGAUCGCCGGCUUUUGCC
rnacentral:rRNA from 1 species